CCCAAACCCAUGUGAACAUACCUACUGUUGCUUCGGCGGGAUUGCCCCGGGCGCCUCGUGUGCCCCGGAUCAGGCGCCCGCCUAGGAAACUUAACUCUUGUUUUAUUUUGGAAUCUUCUGAGUAGUUUUUACAAAUAAAUAAAAACUUUCAACAACGGAUCUCUUGGUUCUGGCAUCGAUGAAGAACGCAGCGAAAUGCGAUAAGUAAUGUGAAUUGCAGAAUUCAGUGAAUCAUCGAAUCUUUGAACGCACAUUGCGCCCGCCAGUAUUCUGGCGGGCAUGCCUGUCUGAGCGUCAUUUCAACCCUCAUGCCCCUAGGGCGUGGUGUUGGGGAUCGGCCAAAGCCCGCGAGGGACGGCCGGCCCCUAAAUCUAGUGGCGGACCCGUCGUGGCCUCCUCUGCGAAGUAGUGAUAUUCCGCAUCGGAGAGCGAUGAGCCCCUGCCGUUAAACCCCCAACUUUCUAAGGUUGACCUCAGAUCAGGUAGGAAUACCCGCUGAACUUAAGCAUAUCAAUAAGCGGAGGA
rnacentral:misc_RNA from 1 species